CCUACGGGAGGCAGCAGUAGGGAAUCUUGCUCAAUGGGGGAAACCCUGACGCAGCAACGCCGCGUGGAGGAUGAAGGUUUUCGGAUUGUAAACUCCUUUUGUUAGAGAAGAUCAUGCAGGUUUCUAACGAAUAAGCACCGGCUAACUCCGUGCCAGCAGCCGCGGUAAUACGGAGGGGGCAAGCGGUAGUCGGAACCACUGGGCGGAACGGGGGCGGAGGCGGGUUAUCAAGUCAGAUGGGAAAUCCUAUGGAUUAACCAGAGAACGGGAUUUGAUACUGUUAGUCUAGAGUAUGGGAGAGGGAGGUGGAAUGCUUGGGGGAGGGGUGAAAUGCGUAGAGAUAAAGAGGAACACUAGUGGCGAAGGCG
rnacentral:rRNA from 1 species